UGGAGAGUUUGAUCCUGGCUCAGAUUGAACGCUGGCGGCAGGCCUAACACAUGCAAGUCGAACGGUAACAGAGAGCAGCUUGCUGCUCUGCUGACGAGUGGCGGACGGGUGAGUAAUGUCUGGGAAACUGCCUGAUGGAGGGGGAUAACUACUGGAAACGGUAGCUAAUACCGCAUAACGUCUUCGGACCAAAGUGGGGGACCUUCGGGCCUCAUGCCAUCAGAUGUGCCCAGAUGGGAUUAGCUAGUAGGUGGGGUAAAGGCUCACCUAGGCGACGAUCCCUAGCUGGUCUGAGAGGAUGACCAGCCACACUGGAACUGAGACACGGUCCAGACUCCUACGGGAGGCAGCAGUGGGGAAUAUUGCACAAUGGGCGCAAGCCUGAUGCAGCCAUGCCGCGUGUAUGAAGAAGGCCUUCGGGUUGUAAAGUACUUUCAGCGAGGAGGAAGGGRUUGUGGUUAAUAACCGCAGUCAUUGACGUUACUCGCAGAAGAAGCACCGGCUAACUCCGUGCCAGCAGCCGCGGUA
rnacentral:rRNA from 1 species